rnacentral:rRNA from 1 species
AUGUAAAGGUAACGCAGAGAACUGAAACAUCUAAGUACCUGCAGGAAGAGAAAGUAAAAACGAUUUCGUAAGUAGCGGCGAGCGAACGCGAAGAAGGGCAAACCAAGAAGCUUGCUUCUUGGGGUUGUAGGACUGCAAAGUGGACUUAAGCAUUAUAGUCGAAUAACCUGGGAAGGUUAAUCAAAGAGGGUAAUAAUCCCGUAGACGAAAUAGCGCUUAUACCUAGCAGUAUCCUGAGUAGGGCUGGACACGCGAAAUCCAGUUUGAAUCCGGGAGG